rnacentral:lncRNA from 1 species
CAAACCCUGGUUCUACUUCUGAGACCACAGAAGCUGCAGAGCUGUAACCCUCAGUGGCCCCAUAUGAGAUGACUUCCUGUUGACUCAUGGAGGACUCAGGCAUACCACAGUGGAUGCUGGCAACUUAAAAUAAUAAAAAGAAUGGAGCUCCAAUUCAGGUAAGUUUUCAUCAUGCUCAAGGCAAAAUUUCUGGUCUUGCCGAGUGCUUGAAUUAUCCUCAAUUAGAAUCUCCAGCUCCCUGCUGCUGUUGCUUGUUGCUCUAAUUAUUCUGCCAUCGUUAAUUCAAUGAGGCCUAUUAACCUACAUCAGAUAGUGUAUUUAUCUAUGAUGUGCAGUACCUGCUCUUCUAGACAAGCAGUUGUCAUACUCCAGGCCUGCUGUCUCUGUCAAGGUCCAAUAUUGUCAGUUUGCCAAUGUGUAUUCUGGAAUCCUCCUUAAUAGUGGUCUGGUAUCUUCACAGGCCCAAAGGCUUAUUGCCCUUGUGAGAUCUUGCUCCGGAGAUUCCUGUAAAAUGCUCCAUCCUGCCACUCUGGGAAACUACUUCCCUCUUCCUUCCCUCGCCUUCCCCUUGUCCAUCUGUCUUUCCUUCUAGGGGGCCAGAGUAUGGGCUCUAGAACUAGGCCUCUUGGUUUGAAUCCUGGUCACCUUGGGUAGGCAGCUUAUUCUCCCUGAGCCUGUUUUUUCCUCUGUAAAAUGCUCACAGUACUGGUGAGAAUUAAAUGUGUUAAUAGGUGGAAAACAUUUAAGAUGCUGUUGGGUUCCCAGUGGGGUCACAAGAAGGGUUCUUGCUGUUAUUAUGUCUUUCUUUCUCUUACCUCCCAUCUGAAGGAAGAAAGCUUCAAAGCCUCUUGGAAGAAGAUGAGUCAGGGUUAAUGCUGGGGAUUCUCUAGUGAGUUAUCUCUAUGGUGCUUCUGGGGAAGGAGACAGGUAUUGUAUCAUUUAGGGUUCACUAGAGGAACAGAUUUUAUGAUAUAUAAAGGGUUUACACAGAAGGCUUAACAUGGCCACCUUUGAAAUGAGGAGCAGAAGAAUGCAAAAUGGCCGUCUGUGGCCCGGAAAACUGGAAGCUACAGUUAAAAGUCGAAGGCCUGGAGCUUCUUGCAGACUGGUGUGAAUCUGUAUCAGAAAGCCAAAGAGUCUGCGUUAGAAAGCAGAAGUCAGCCCUGGAAGCCUGACAAGAUGGGAGAUGGACAUCCAAAGGGGUAGCAAGGACUGGAGUGCCUCUAAAGAAGCACAAAAGGGGAGACUUCUUCUUUCUCCCUUUUUAUUCCAUCCAAGCUACAAGCGCAUUGGUUGGUGCCACCAC